ensembl:lncRNA
UUUUCUUUAGUUGCUCCUGAUGAUUGUUCUAUUAUUCCCUUCCUUCUGCUCUACUAUAUCACUGACAUGCUAAUGACUGGUUUCAGAUAUCUUCUGCAUUCUGUGGUGUUAUUUGCGUAAUUCCUUGUUUUCUUGAAUGAUGUAGGGACUGAGGCACUUAGUGAGAUGGUCUGAACAAACUGAAAUGAGGAAUUAGGAGUCAAACUCCGAAGCCAGAGUUCAGGAGCCAGAGCCAAGGGCAGGAGGAAGAGCUGUCCUGUCCACCGCUGUGUUGGAGAUGUAGAUCACACAAGGAAAUCUGCAGGAAAGGCCUAAGCAGUCUUCCAGCUGCUCUGCCCCAAGCCUGUAGUGUUGCCUGGGGUUGUUGUGGCCAAGUGUAUUGAACAGG